rnacentral:rRNA from 1 species
GUGACUGCGUACCUUUUGUAUAAUGGGUCAGCGACUUAUAUUCUGUAGCAAGGUUAACCGUAUAGGGGAGCCGAAGGGAAACCGAGUCUUAACUGGGCGUUAAGUUGCAGGGUAUAGACCCGAAACCCGGUGAUCUAGCCAUGGGCAGGUUGAAGGUUGGGUAACACUAACUGGAGGACCGAACCGACUAAUGUUGAAAAAUUAGCGGAUGACUUGUGGCUGGGGGUGAAAGGCCAAUCAAACCGGGAGAUAGCUGGUUCUCCCCGAAAGCUAUUUAGGUAGCGCCUCGUGAACUCAUCUUCGGGGGUAGAGCACUGUUUCGGCUAGGGGGUCAUCCCGACUUACCAACCCGAUGCAAACUGCGAAUACCGAAGAAUGUUAUCACGGGAGACACACGGCGGGUGCUAACGUCCGUCGUGAAGAGGGAAACAACCCAGACCGCCAGCUAAGGUCCCAAAGUCAUGGUUAAGUGGGAAACGAUGUGGGAAGGCACAGACAGCCAGGAUGUUGGCUUAGAAGCAGCCAUCAUUUAAAGAAAGCGUAAUAGCUCACUGGUCGAGUCGGCCUGCGCGGAAGAUGUAACGGGGCUAAACCAUGCACCGAAGCUGCGGCAGCGACACUAUGUGUUGUUGGGUAGGGGAGCGUUCUGUAAGCCGUUGAAGGUGUAUCGUGAGGUAUGCUGGAGGUAUCAGAAGUGCGAAUGCUGACAUAAGUAACGAUAAUGCGGGUGAAAAACCCGCACGCCGGAAGACCAAGGGUUCCUGUCCAACGUUAAUCGGGGCAGGGUGAGUCGACCCCUAAGGCGAGGCCGAAAGGCGUAGUCGAUGGGAAACAGGUUAAUAUUCCUGUACUUGGUGUUACUGCGAAGGGGGGACGGAGAAGGCUAUGUUAGCCGGGCGACGGUUGUCCCGGUU